rnacentral:rRNA from 1 species
AUGCCUUUGCCUGUUCCUGUCGCUCCAUGGGAGGACAUCUCUAUGGACUUUGUCUUGGGCUUGCCAAGAACAAGGCGAGGAAGUGAUGCUCUAUUUGUGGUCGUGGAUAGAUUCUCUAAGAUGGCUCAUUUCAUCCCAUGCUGCAAAACAACGGAUGCUCAUCAUGUGGCAAACCUAUUCUUUCGACAAGUGGUCAGACUUCAUGGAGUAUCAAGGUCCAUCGUCUCAGACCGUGAUAGCAAGUUUCUUGCGGCAUUUUGGCUCACUUUGUGGAAGCAAUUCAACACUGAGUUGAAAUUUUCUAGCACUGCUCAUCCACAAACAGAUGGACAAACGAAAGUGGUGAACAAGUUUUGGGGUAAUCUGAUCCGUUGCAUUUGUGGAGAAAGAAAGGGACAAUGGGAUUUGGCUUUAUCUCUUGCAGAAUUCUCCUACAAUAACUCCAAGCAUAGAUCCACGGGAAGGAGCCCUUUUUCCAUUGUCUACACUAAAGUUCCAUCACAUGUGGUGGACCUGGUGAAGCUACCAUCAAGGGGAAAACUCAAAAUCAGCAUUGUCCUUUGCUAA